CCGUAGCCUGGUAGCGGGGGAUAACUAUUGGAAACGAUAGCUAAUACCGCAUAAUAUUAAUUAUUUGCAUGAUAAUUGAUUGAAAGAUGCAACUGCAUCACUACCAGAUGGACCUGCGUUGUAUUAGCUAGUAGGUGAGGUAACGGCUCACCUAGGCGACGAUACAUAGCCGACCUGAGAGGGUGAUCGGCCACACUGGGACUGAGACACGGCCCAG
rnacentral:rRNA from 1 species